rnacentral:rRNA from 1 species
UUGAACGCUGGCGGCAGGCCUAACACAUGCAAGUCGAACGGUAACAGGAAGCAGCUUGCUGCUUCGCUGACGAGUGGCGGACGGGUGAGUAAUGUCUGGGAAGCUGCCUGAUGGAGGGGGAUAACUACUGGAAACGGUAGCUAAUACCGCAUAAUGUCGCAAGACCAAAGAGGGGGACCUUCGGGCCUCUUGCCAUCGGAUGUGCCCAGAUGGGAUUAGCUUGUUGGUGGGGUAACGGCCCACCAAGGCGACGAUCCCUAGCUGGUCUGAGAGGAUGACCAGCCACACUGGGACUGAGACACGGUCCAGACUCCUACGGGAGGCAGCAGUGGGGAAUAUUGCACAAUGGGCGCAAGCCUGAUGCAGCCAUGCCGCGUGUAUGAAGAAGGCCUUCGGGUUGUAAAGUACUUUCGGCGGGGAGGAAGGGAGUAAAGUUAAUACCUUUGCUCAUUGACGUUACCCGCAGAAGAAGCACCGGCUAACUCCGUG